UACGUAGGGGGCAAGCGUUGUCCGGAAUCAUUGGGCGUAAAGCGCGUGUAGGCGGCUUCGUAAGUCCGUUGUGAAAGUCCAGGGCUCAACCCUGGAAUGCCGAUGGAUACUGCGGAGCUAGAGUCCGGAAGAGGAGAGUGGAAUUCCUGGUGUAGCGGUGAAAUGCGCAGAUAUCAGGAGGAACACCGAUUGCGAAGGCAGCUCGCUGGGACGUCACUGACGCUGAGACGCGAAAGCGUGGGGAGCAAACAGG
rnacentral:rRNA from 1 species